AACAAAGUUUAUUUGAAUUUGAGUCAUAUGAAAUUUGCACAGUGGUCUUUUAUAACGAGUUUUUGUUACACUCGUUAAAAGAGCCGCCGCGCAAAUCUCAUGUGGCUUAUGCCCAACGUUUGCUUAUGU
rnacentral:pre_miRNA from 1 species